CCCUUAGAUGUUCUGGGCUGCACGCGCGCUACACUGAUGCGUUCAACGAGUGUAUCACCUUGCCCGAUAGGGUUGGGUAAUCUUUUGAACACGCAUCGUGAUGGGGAUAGAUUAUUGCAAUUAUUAAUCUUCAACGAGGAAUUCCUAGUAAUGAUGAAUCAUCAGUUCAUCGUGAUUACGUCCCUGCCCUUUGUACACACCGCCCGUCGCUCCUACCGAUUGAAUGGUCCGGUGAAGCGUUCGGACCGUGGCCUUUGGACGGUUCGCCGUCUGUUGGCUGCGGGAAGUUCGUUAAACCUUAUCAUUUAGAGGAAGGAGAAGUCGUAACA
rnacentral:rRNA from 1 species